UACGAAGGGUGCUAGCGUUGCUCGGAAUGACUGGGCGUAAAGGGCGCGUAGGCGGCUUGCACAGUCAGGCGUGAAAUUCCUGGGCUCAACCUGGGGACUGCGCUUGAGACGUGUGGGCUUGAGUGGGGAAGAGGGUCGUGGAAUUCCCAGUGUAGAGGUGAAAUUCGUAGAUAUUGGGAAGAACACCGGUGGCGAAGGCGGCGACCUGGUCCUUGACUGACGCUGAGGCGCGAAAGCGUGGGGAGCAAACAGG
rnacentral:rRNA from 1 species